ensembl:snoRNA
AACCAGUGAUGUAAUGAUUCUGCCAAGUGAAUGUUAAAACCAUUCCAUUUUGAUACUGAGGUU